rnacentral:rRNA from 1 species
GAUGAACGCUAGCGGCAGGCCUAAUACAUGCAAGUCGAACGGUGUCUUCGGACAUAGUGGCGCACGGGUGCGUAACACGUAUGCAACCUACCUUACAUUGGGGGAUAGCCUUUCGAAAGGGAGAUUAAUACCGCAUAAGACGGUAGCUGGGCAUCCAGUAGCUGUUAAAGAUUUAUCGAUGUAAGCUGGGCAUGCGUCCAAUUAGUUAGUUGGUGAGGUAACGGCUCACCAAGACGAUGAUUGGUAGGGGAACUGAGAGGUCAAUCCCCCACACUGGCACUGAGAUACGGGCCAGACUCCUACGGGAGGCAGCAGUAGGGAGUAUUGGGCAAUGGACGCAAGUCUGACCCAGCCAUGCCGCGUGCAGGAAGAAGGCGUUCUGCGUUGUAAACUGCUUUUAUAUAGGAAGAAACGACCCUUGCGAGGGGCAUUGACGGUAUUAUAUGAAUAAGCACCGGCUAACUCCGUGCCAGCCGCCGCGGUAACAC